rnacentral:rRNA from 1 species
CACGUAGGGGGCAAGCGUUGUUCGGAAUUAUUGGGCGUAAAGGGCAUGUAGGCGGUUGGGAAAGCCCGACGUGAAAUCCUGCAGCUUAACUGUAGAAUUGCGUUGGGAACUAUCCGACUAGAAUCGUGGAGGGGGAGCUAGAAUUCCAGGUGUAGGGGUGAAAUCUGUAGAUAUCUGGAAGAAUACCGGUGGCGAAGGCGAGCUCCUGGCCAAUGAUUGACGCUGAGGUGCGAAAGCGUGGGGAUCAAACAGGAUUAGAUACCCUGGUAGUCCACGCCAUCAACGAUGUGCACUAGGUGUUGGGGCAGAAGCCCCAGUGCCGCAGCUAACGCGAUAAGUGCACCGCCUGGGGAGUAUGCUCGCAAGGGUG